AACGAACGCUGGCGGCGUGGUUUAGGCAUGCAAGUCGAACGAUCCCUCUCGCAAGAGGGGGAUAGUGGCAAACGGGUGAGGAACACGUGAGUAAUCUACCAUUAGGUUCGGGACAACUUGCCGAAAGGUAAGCUAAUACCGGAUAAGACCACUAUUUCACAGAGAUAGCGGUUAAAGGUGGGAUCCUGAAAAUGGACCUGCCACCUGAUGAUGAGCUCGCGUCCUAUCAGCUAGUUGGUGGGGUAAUGGCCUACCAAGGCGAAGACGGGUAGCUGGUCUGAGAGGAUGGUCAGCCACACUGGGACUGAGACACUGCCCAGACUCCUACGGGAGGCUG
rnacentral:rRNA from 1 species